rnacentral:snRNA from 1 species
AGCUUUGCGCAGUGGCAGUAUCGUAGCCAAUGAGGUUUAUCCGAGGCGCGAUUAUUGCUAAUUGAAAAAUGUCACAUAUUAG